GAUAAACGCUGGCGGCGUGCCUAAUACAUGCAAGUCGUGCGGAAAGGUUUUGCACAGAUUACUUAAUCGAUAAAAAGGUUGAGUGAUAUGUGCAGAAUACUCGAGUGGCGGACGGCAGAGUAACGCGUAGGAAUGUACCCCAAAGUGAGGAAUAAGCACCGGAAACGGUGUCUAAUGCCGCAUAAUAUCUUCGGAUUAAAGCAGUAAUGCGCUUUGGGAACAGCCUGCGUCCGAUUAGCUUGUUGGUGAGGUAAUGGCUCACCAAGGCUACGAUCGGUAGCUGGUCUGAGAGGAUGAUCAGCCUGACUGGAACUGAGACACGGUCCAGACUCCUACGGGAGGCAGCAGUAGGGAAUUUUCCACAAUGGGCGCAAGCCUGAUGGAGCAACGCCGCGUGCAGGAUGAAGGCUUUAGGGUCGUAAACUGCUUUUAUGUGCGAUGAAUUUGACAGUAACACAUGAAUAAGGAUCGG
rnacentral:rRNA from 1 species